rnacentral:rRNA from 1 species
UACAGAGGGGGCAAGCGUUAUUCGGAAUUAUUGGGCGUAAAGGGCGCGUAGGCGGCUUGGCAAGUGGAAGGUGAAAUCCCUCGGCUUAACCGAGGAACUGCCCUCCAAACUGCUUCGCUUGAGACCGGGAGAGGUGAGUGGAAUUCCCAGUGUAGCGGUGAAAUGCGUAGAUAUUGGGAGGAACACCAGUGGCGAAGGCGGCUCACUGGACCGUUGUUGACGCUGAGGUGCGAAAGCGUGGGGAGCAAACAGG